AACUGCAGAAUCUUUUCCACUCAACUUCCUCGUUCUGGGAUAUAAUAAAUAGACAACGUAUGGCCCAACAGCACAUUGGAGACAAAUUUUCUGUGAUAGAAAAAUGUUUUUUACUACACACAAUGUUUCUCAAAGGAGAGACAGGGUCUCACUAUGUUGCCUGGACUGGCCUUGAACUCCCUGGGCUCAAGCAAUCCACCUCCCUCAGCUUCCCAAAGUGCUGGGAUAACAGUUAAUGACUUGAGAGACUUACUAUACAAAUGGACAGACCAUGCAUGACAAGAGAACUCUGAUCUACAACUGCUGCAGCAACAAGUCAGAGAAGCCGAACCACCAUCUCUGGCUUCAAUCAGAAUGGUUAGGACUUGGUCAAUGCCUGCCAGCUUCUUAAUUUCUUACUGCCACCUCCAUACCCUCUCCCUCUUCCCCCACCACCCUUCCAACUCAGGACCAACCAUCGAACUCCAAAUAUCUCCAAAUAUGCUCCCCAAACCAAUCACAUAAGAUGCCCUGCUUCUAGUUGCCUGGCCUUUUGGAUAGCCUUCCUCAGCUUCUCCAGGCCAACAACAUCCAAUCAGAGCACACCUGAAGCCUUUCUUGUUUUUACACUGUGAAGCUUUCCCACUCCCACACCUGCCUUUGAAUCUCUGCCAAAUGCAAGUGAUGGUGGCUGUCUCCCUUACUUUAAAUAAAUAGACUUUGUUCAUGAGAACACAUGGACACAGGAAGGGGAACAGCACACUCUGGGGACUGUUGUGGGGUGGGGGGAGGGGGGAGGGAUAGCUUUAGGAGAUAUACCUAAUGCUAAAUGACGAGUUAAUGGGUGCAGCACACCAGCAUGGCACAUGUAUACAUAUGUAACUAACCUGCACAUUGUGCACAUGUACCCUAAAACUUAAAGUAUAAUAAUAAUAAAAUUU